rnacentral:rRNA from 1 species
UGCCGUAACUUCGGGAGAAGGCACGCUGACACGUAGGUGAAGUGAUUUACUCAUGGAGCUGAAGUCAGUCGAAGAUACCAGCUGGCUGCAACUGUUUAUUAAAAACACAGCACUGUGCAAACACGAAAGUGGACGUAUACGGUGUGACGCCUGCCCGGUGCCGGAAGGUUAAUUGAUGGGGUCAGCGCAAGCGAAGCUCCUGAUCGAAGCCCCGGUAAACGGCGGCCGUAACUAUAACGGUCCUAAGGUAGCGAAAUUCCUUGUCGGGUAAGUUCCGACCUGCACGAAUGGCGUAAUGAUGGCCAGGCUGUCUCCACCCGAGACUCAGUGAAAUUGAACUCGCUGUGAAGAUGCAGUGUACCCGCGGCAAGACGGAAAGACCCCGUGAACCUUUACUAUAGCUUGACACUGAACAUUGAGCCUUGAUGUGUAGGAUAGGUGGGAGGCUUUGAAGUGUGGACGCCAGUCUGCAUGGAGCCGACCUUGAAAUACCACCCUUUAAUGUUUGAUGUUCUAACGUGGACCCGUGAUCCGGGUUGCGGACAGUGUCUGGUGGGUAGUUUGACUGGGGCGGUCUCCUCCUAAAGAGUAACGGAGGAGCACGAAGGUUGGCUAAUCCUGGUCGGACAUCAGGAGGUUAGUGCAAUGGCAUAAGCCAGCUUGACUGCGAGCGUGACGGCGCGAGCAGGUGCGAAAGCAGGUCAUAGUGAUCCGGUGGUUCUGAAUGGAAGGGCCAUCGCUCAACGGAUAAAAGGUACUCCGGGGAUAACAGGCUGAUACCGCCCAAGAGUUCAUAUCGACGGCGGUGUUUGGCACCUCGAUGUCGGCUCAUCACAUCCUGGGGCUGAAGUAGGUCCCAAGGGUAUGGCUGUUCGCCAUUUAAAGUGGUACGCGAGCUGGGUUUAGAACGUCGUGAGACAGUUCGGUCCCUAUCUGCCGUGGGCGCUGGAGAACUGAGGGGGGCUGCUCCUAGUACGAGAGGACCGGAGUGGACGCAUCACUGGUGUUCGGGUUGUCAUGCCAAUGGCACUGCCCGGUAGCUAAAUGCGGAAGAGAUAAGUGCUGAAAGCAUCUAAGCACGAAACUUGCCCCGAGAUGAGUUCUCCCUGAGACUUUAGGUCUCCUGAAGGAACGUUGAAGACGACGACGUUGAUAGGCCGGGUGUGUAAGCGCAGCGAUGCGUUGAGCUAACCGGUACUAAUGAACCGUGAGGCUUAACCUU